AAAAGGUGGAUUCCGGUUCGCAUACAACUCUACUAUGCACUUAUCGCAGGCACCGAGGUGACGCUCCUUCGGCUAGGCCGCGGUGUCCAGUGGCUGCCUGGGCUGCAGUGUGGUUCUGCGUUGCGUCAACCUUCUCUCUGGCGGCGGACGCGGCAAAUGUGGCUGGCCUGGUCUCCCUAUUACUGCCUGGUUCCGACGGUGACGUCGAUGCAGCGGCCUGCCCGGACCUGUACCGGCGCUACAGCCGUAGACACACGCAGUGCGUGCGGCCCCCGAAGUCGUGCCAUCCUCUGCACGAGGGCGUCUCCGAGGCUGACCGGCAGCUCAUCGUAGACGAGCACAAUGCAUUCCGCAACCGCCUCGCCUCAGGAGCCGAGGCCGCCGGCGGGUUACCUGCCGCUGCGAACAUGAUGUACCUGGAGUGGAACGACGAGCUGGCGGCCGUGGCACAGAAGUUGGCCAGCAUGUGCGCCAUCAAACCGGACUGCGCAGACUGCAGAC